rnacentral:rRNA from 1 species
GACGGAGGAUGCAAGCGUUAUCCGGAAUGAUUGGGCGUAAAGCGUCCGCAGGUGGCAGUUCAAGUCUGCUGUCAAAGACCGGGGCUUAACUUCGGAAAGGCAGUGGAAACUGAACAGCUAGAGUAUGGUAGGGGCAGAGGGAAUUCCUGGUGUAGCGGUGAAAUGCGUAGAUAUCAGGAAGAACAUCGGUGGCGAAGGCGCUCUGCUGGACCAUAACUGACACGGAGGGACGAAAGCUAGGGGAGCGAAUGGG